CGUGCUGCCCUAGUAAUCAGAUCAGAUCCAAGCACAAAUAGUAAGUUAGGGUUUGGGUGCUUGUUUUGUCAGAGCACGAAAGGACGACCAGGGAUGAGCGUACCUGGUGGCAGAGAGGUCGUGCAGAUCCUUAGAGGAGUGCCCGACGAGGCCAUCGCAAGGGCAGCCCGCAAGUCACCGGAGAGGUCGCCCGCCGAGGAAGACGGAGUUUGCUCGUGACCUUGGAGGUUUUUUAUUUUUUUUCCUUCAUAGGCAUAGGCAUAUAUACAUACGUUGUUUUCUUUCUAUUUUCCAAUUUCCAGUGACUUCAGGAGAUUCGAACUUGCAUCGUUCAUAUUCGUAAGAGGGGAGGGCCUGGCUUGAGAGGGUGAGAAGCCUCGCAUCAAAGGCCGAGGGUGUGUAAGGUCGUGAUCAUACUUCUAAUCUGGACCGUUAAAUCUAUAGGAUAUGUGUUGUGAGUCGUUGAUCUUGCAGGUGGGAUUUGUCUGGAGAAGAUUUCAAUUAUAGUAGAGAUAUUUAUAUUAUUGAUCUUAUGUGACACUUACCCUGCAUGAGAGAUAGAUAAAGAUAUGGUUAAGAUCUCCAUGAAUACAUGCAGUGCUCAUUGCUCAUUAUCCAUUGCAAGUCCCUUCCUAGUGGUAAAAAUAUAAAUAACGAUACCUAGAUUACUCCCGGUUAAAAUGAUAGAUCGGUAUUAUCUAUGUGCUUGCGGAUCCUUUAUUUAUUUAUUCCCUAGAAGAUCAUGCUGGGGAUGACAACCUGGCUUAAAAGUAAUUUUGAUGCCAUUGCUAGGGAUAGGUAUAAAAGUCUAUCUAUAGUAGUUGUGUUAAGAAGUGUCAACAGCCAUCUCAAGGAUGGCUACGAUCUCCAGGGCCGAGAUCUAGAUGUAGAGUUUCUAUUUUAUAGGAGCAGAUUUGAUUGCUGGUGAUGGCCUGAGCAGUUUCCUCCAUAUCAUGUUGAGCAGUUUUGGCUGCAUCGUGGGUCUGU
rnacentral:lncRNA from 1 species